GAUGAACGCUGGCGGCGUGCCUAAUACAUGCAAGUCGAGCGAACGGACGAGAAGCUUGCUUCUCUGAUGUUAGCGGCGGACGGGUGAGUAACACGUGGAUAACCUACCUAUAAGACUGGGAUAACUUCGGGAAACCGGAGCUAAUACCGGAUAAUAUUUUGAACCGCAUGGUUCAAAAGUGAAAGACGGUCUUGCUGUCACUUAUAGAUGGAUCCGCGCUGCAUUAGCUAGUUGGUAAGGUAACGGCUUACCAAGGCAACGAUGCAUAGCCGACCUGAGAGGGUGAUCGGCCACACGGGACCUGGGACACGGUCCAGACUCCUACGGGAGGCAGCAGUAGGGAAUCUUCCGCAAUGGGCGAAAGCCUGACGGAGCAACGCCGCGUGAGUGAUGAAGGUCUUCGGAUCUUAAAACUCUGUUAUUAGGGAAGAACAUAUGUGUAAGUAACUGUGCACAUCUUGACGGUACCUAAUCAGAAAGCCACGGCUAACUACGUG
rnacentral:rRNA from 1 species